GUCUCCAGCCAACUCACAUUGACGUUUCGCGGUCAAGUUUAUGUGUUCGAUGCUGUUACUCCUGAUAAGGUUCAAGCAGUGCUAUUACUAUUGGGUGGAUGUGAACUAACUUCAGGUCCGCAUGGUCUAGAAGUAGCACCUCAAAACCAAAGGGGUGCAGUGGUGGAGUAUCCAGGACGAUGUACUCAACCCCAGAGAGCAGCCUCAUUAAAUAGGUUCAGGCAGAAGAGGAAAGAGCGGUGCUUUGAUAAGAAAGUUAGAUACAGCGUACGCCAAGAGGUUGCACUCAGGAUGCAGCGUAAUAAGGGUCAAUUUACUUCUUCCAAGAAGUCAGAUGGAGCAUAUGGUUGGGCUGGUGGUCAGGAUUCAGGACAAGAUGACA
rnacentral:misc_RNA from 1 species